AUGUCUUAUUCGUCUUGAAGAUGAUUCAUUGUAUGUAAAAUGACAGAUGUGACAAAUUUGUAUUAAAAGAAAAAUCCAAACUUAAUAUUCAGCAUAUUAGCUGGAAAAAGUAACGAAGAUAAAAAAAAAUAUUUAAAAAUGGAGAGUUCAUUUCCUUAACUAAACAGAAAAAAGUAUAAUCCCCCAUAACAUGUCUUUCCUUCCGUAGAGGUUAAUAUGAUGUAGCGGUCAGUAUAAGAGGGUACUUAUACUGCCUCGCUAGUGAGUUAGCUUUUCUAAUGAUGUGGUAGAGUCUCUCUCUCGAUCACACAAGUUAACAGCGAGCAUGAUCAGCACUUGGCUAGCUGAUCGCUACACGUUACAAAAUGGUGGCAACGUAGUGACUCUGGUGUUUUGUAGGCCUGCUUCAGGUAGAGUCUCUUAGCAGCACUGGGACUUUGUGUCCAUGUACGGACGUGGGUUCGUCCGGUGACGACGGUGGAUGUCGUCGGGAACGGUGGAUGCCGCUGAUGAAGAGAUGCCAAACAUUCAGAGAGAAUUCGUGCUAAACUUCGGAACGAAGCUUCCAUGAGAAGGGUGAAAUGUAGCGAACAGUAUAUAGGGAACUCAUAUAGGGGCUGUAAGUCUCGUUUCUCGUCACUUCCGGUGAAGAGUUUCCGGUGACAAACAAAUCCGAUUCAGUAUUACGAGUAUAGAAUUGGGCCAACUACACGUCCGAAAAACCAACGCUUAUGAGUAAAUCAGAGAACGCUGUUUACCACAACCAUUUGUUAUGUCCCUGUUUAACAAGUUGGCAUACAUUGUCAAUGCAGUGGUUCAAGUGUCGAUGGAGAACAAGUUGUAUAAAGUAACCAGAAUACAGGAAGAGUAUUUACUCCCUCAAGUCCAGUCAUCCUUGCUAUCAUCAGAUACAGGACCAGCUUUUGUGCAAUAUGAAUUAUUCCGUCUCGAUUGUUUGGACUACAGCCGACUGCAUGCAAAAUUAUCCGGAUCAUCAAGGACUCUUAGUGGACAAAGAACAUUGCAAAGUGAUAUAAUUUUAUUGCUGCAACUUGAUUAUUUGGACAAAAGCUGACUGCAGAAUUAUUCCGGAUCAUAAAGGACUCGGAAUGGACACAUAACAUUAACAGAAAUAUUUCCAUUUCUGAAUGAAUUCAAAAUCAACAUGUAUUGAUAAAACAUACUUAGUAAAACAAUAACAAUCAAUAGUGCAUUUUUUAUUUAUACUAAACUAUUUGACACACAA